UACGUAGGGUGCAAGCGUUGUCCGGAUUUAUUGGGUUUAAAGGGUGCGUAGGCGGCCUUGUAAGUCAGUAGUGAAAUACCCCAGCUCAACUGGGGGGGUGCUAUUGAUACUGCAGGGCUUGAGUACAGAUGAGGUAGGCGGAAUUGACGGUGUAGCGGUGAAAUGCAUAGAUAUCGUCAAGAACACCGAUAGCGAAGGCAGCUUACUAAGUUGUAACUGACGCUGAGGCACGAAAGUGUGGGGAUCAAACAGG
rnacentral:rRNA from 1 species